AAUAAAUACUAAAAUGUUCGGGCUCAUAACCCGAAGGUCGUAGGUUCAAAUCCUGC
rfam:Proteobacteria bacterium SG_bin4 405, whole genome shotgun sequence.